UACAAUGGCCAUGCAGGAGGGACUGGACUCCAAGAGAGCCUCUCACAAGUCAUGGGAAUAUAACUGUGAGAAAUGGAAAAGCAAGGUACCUUAAAAGUUUCAAACAGAUUUGAAGCAGAUGCUGUAAAGUUUAGGAAACAGCCAGCAGGAAACAAAUACUGAGUUCCAGCUACAUAAAAGAACUAAUUGUUGCAUCAUUAUGGUGGUUUAGAACAUGUGAUCACCCCUUGAUUUAAUCUAAUAAAGCUGUUAUACCAACAAACAAGAAAAUGUGACUCUGUAAAGCCUUUGGAAUUAAAAGAUAUAAAACAGCAAAUAAAUUGAA